GAUGAAGAACGUAGCGAAAUGCGAUAAGUAAUGUGAAUUGCAGAAUUCAGUGAAUCAUCGAAUCUUUGAACGCACCUUGCACCCUUUGGCAUUCCGAAGGGUAUGCUCGUUUGAGUGUCAUUGUACUCUCACACUUCCGAUCUUUGGAUUGGGAGCGGUGGACUUGGGUGUUGCUGCUUACUGUGGCUCACCUCAAAUCGAUUCGUGCACCUCUUGGUUGGACAUAGUACGGCGUGAUAAGUGUCUUCGCCGGCACCUCAGUAGAGGGUGGCUGAUCGGGAGCUCUGCUUCAAACCGUCCUCGGACAACAACCGACAACUUGACCUCAAAUCGAGUAGGACUACCCGCUGAACUUAAGCAUAUCAAUAAGCGGAGGA
rnacentral:misc_RNA from 1 species